rnacentral:lncRNA from 1 species
AAAAAAAAGUUUGGAUGAGAUUAUUUCAUGAGAUAUAUUUAUAUCCCUGUAUUGAUAUUGGAAAAUGUAUACUUUUGACUUAUCUGCAAUGCCCAUAAUUUGAAGAAAAAAAACAUUUGUUUCCAUACUUGAUUUAAACAAAGACUAACAGACAUUUGAAUUUAUUUUUAACAUGCCUGUAAUGCUGAUAAAAACAGUCGCUUCAAAUAAGAUAUUUAUUAGUAAAUACAAUCUAAAGUUUCAGUCUUUUUUCCUGUUUUCCGAAAACACUUACGACAUGGAGUAGUCAAAACUUUUCAUACUGUAUGAAAACCAGUGACAACUUUCAAGCCGAUAACAAUUGGUUAUCUAUUAGGGUAGUAUCAUUAUUUGUGUCAUUAGAAAAUUAAGCCAUGCAAACAAAACGUUGUCAUAUUGAUUUAAAAUAACUGUCAAUAUAAACAAUAGUUAGAAAUAAAAUGAUAUAAAUAUGAUCAUUGUGCAAAAUACAUGAAAGAAAUGAACUGCCAAUCGUGUCAACUGUAAUAUCAAUGACAUAUUUGUCUAAGAUGAAGUCACAAAACAAUUAUUUAUGUUAUUUAAAUAGAUUGACAUUCUGUUAUAUAACUUAACUGUGUAUCAGUAGUAUUCCUAAUCAAUAUGGGAGAUUGAUGAGUGAUAAGCCAUCAUCAAUAUAUCAUAUCUGGAUGUGAACUUAGUACAUGUUUCUUCUGUUGACUUUUACACUAUGUCAUUUCUGUUUCAUAUGAGUACAAAAUAAACAAAAGAAAGUC